UGAAAUCGUGACACCUUUAUUUUAUUGAUUCUUCAAUUUAUUACAAUCCUCAAGACUUCAAAUACAUAAUUAGAUUCCCUAUCCUCAUGAAAAUAAGAGUACUUCCUACUACAUAUAUUACCAACGCAAAAACAAUUAGCUACUCAUCUCCAUAUUUCUUAUUUUUUGGGAAUUUAUUUGCAUAAUGUCCAGCUUCCUUGGAGCGAAAACAGACGACUUUCGAUAAGUUUCAAGGCUUCUUGGUUAUGGGUUUGCUCCUUGGGCUAUCUCCUUAUUUUUUGGGCAUUGGUAAAUGUAGUGACUCGAUUGCUUGCACCUGAAACACAUGAUAUGACUCCGA
rnacentral:lncRNA from 1 species